rnacentral:rRNA from 1 species
GACGAACGCUGGCGGCGUGCUUAACACAUGCAAGUCGAGCGGUAAGGCUCCUUCGGGCGUACACGAGCGGCGAACGGGUGAGUAACACGUGAGUAAUCUGCCCUUCACUUCGGGAUAACCACCGGAAACGGUGGCUAAUACCGAAUACGACCAGUCUUCGCAUGAGGUGCUGGUGGAAAGUCUUUUCGGUGAAGGAUGUGCUCGCGGCCUAUCAGCUUGUUGGUGGGGUAAUGGCCUACCAAGGCUUCGACGGGUAGCCGGCCUGAGAGGGUGACCGGCCAAACUGGGACUGAGACACGGCCCAGACUCCUACGGGAGGCAGCAGUGGGGAAUAUUGGACAAUGGGCGAAAGCCUGAUCCAGCAACGCCGCGUGAGGGAUGACGGCCUUCGGGUUGUAAACCUCGUUCAGUACCGACGAAGCGCCCUGUCGGGUGGUGACGGUAGGUACAGAAGAAGGACCGGCCAACUACGUG